rfam:Ictidomys tridecemlineatus contig047357, whole genome shotgun sequence.
GGGGCUGUAGCUCAGUGGCAGAGCGCUUGCCUGGCAUGCAUGAAGCACUGGGUUCGAGAUCCUUAGCACCA